AUCGCUGCGCUCCCACGACGCUCGUGCACAAUAAAAGGCCCGGCUGCACGAGCGCCAACACACACUAGGUUACCUCCGUUAUGACGUAGGAGCAGCUCGGAGGACGAGCUCCGCCUGCUGGACCCACACGCUUGGUGAACUGGAGGUGGGAGCGCGGACCGGCGCCAGACGUCCUUGAGUCCGACCCUGUUAGAAAACCUUGCCGUCGGGCGUCCUGUGGCCCAGCGCUCAUUACUGCUGCAAGGAUCUUGGGUGACUCUUUAAAGAUGCUUAAAAAUUAAAUGUACCCUGUAUUAGAACAAAACACUGUGAUUCUUUCAGUGCAUUAAAAGUUUUAACAGAUAAAAAUGCACCUCUCAAAAUAUUAC
rnacentral:lncRNA from 1 species